rnacentral:lncRNA from 1 species
AUCCCCCAACCCAAAGAAUUUUCUUUCUAACUUUUCUUUUUCUGUUUUUGCUUCGAUCUUCUUUUGUUUCUUUUUCUCUUUUCUCACUUACUCCUUUUCUGUUUUCUUCUUUUUUCUUUUACCACUUACUCCUUUGCUGUUUUCUUUUUUUCUUUUCUCACUUAGUCUUUUUCUGUUUUCUUAUUUUUCUUUUCUCCCCAAGGUUGUCCAUAUGUAUAUGAUAUAUAUAUAAUGGUGUAUGUGUGUUUGUAGUGAAGUUGG